rnacentral:rRNA from 1 species
UACGUAGGGGGCUAGCGUUGUCCGGAAUCAUUGGGCGUAAAGAGCGCGUAGGCGGCUAGAUAAGGCCGGUGUGAAAGUCACAGGCUCAACCUGUGAAUGCCGCUGGAAACUGUCUGGCUAGAGUCCGGAAGGGGCGAGUGGAAUUCCUGGUGUAGCGGUGAAAUGCGCAGAUAUCAGGAGGAACACCAAUGGCGAAGGCAGCUCGCUGGGACGGUACUGACGCUGAGGCGCGAAAGCGUGGGGAGCGAAACAGG